AGUGAACGCUGGCGGUAGGCCUAACACAUGCAAGUCGAACGGCAGCACAGUAAGAGCUUGCUCUUACGGGUGGCGAGUGGCGGACGGGUGAGGAAUACAUCGGAAUCUACUUUUUCGUGGGGGAUAACGUAGGGAAACUUACGCUAAUACCGCAUACGACCUACGGGUGAAAGCAGGGGAUCUUCGGACCUUGCGCGAUUGAAUGGGCCGAUGUCGGAUUAGCUAGUUGGCGGGGUAAAGGCCCACCAAGGCGACGAUCCGUAGCUGGUCUGAGAGGAUGAUCAGCCACACUGGAACUGAGACACGGUCCAGAAUCCUACGGGAGGCAGCAGUGGGGAAUAUUGGACAAUGGGCGCAAGCCUGAUCCAGCCAUACCGCGUGGGUGAAGAAGGCCUUCGGGUUGUAAAGCCCUUUUGUUGGGAAAGAAAAGCAGCAGGUUAAUACCCCGCUGUUCUGACGGUACCCAAAGAAUAAGCACCGGCUAACUUCGUG
rnacentral:rRNA from 1 species